CUUAAUGGGCCCAAAUGCCUUUGUCCUUGUCCAACUCAAAUCAGGCCUGGUUCCACCGCAUUCUUCUUCAUCGCUUUUCAAGUUCCAAAGAUACCUUUGCAAACCUUUUAUCAAGUGCACCAUCAUUUCUCGUUCUCAUUCUCAUCAAAUCAAGCUGACCCAAAUGACUAAUUCUUUUCUUUCCAUAGAAGCCUAUUCUCUACACCCUCGCUUUCUUUGCUAUAAGUUCGUUCCAUUGAAUUUUGGUAUCCAUCCCGUCCUAGGAACUGUAUAAGCGAAGGAAAAGCAGAGGAUUGGUACUUGUACGUUCGCCUGCUAACUUCACCGGUUGGAAUACACCGAAUGAGAAGAAGGGUGUAGAAAUUUGGUUAUUAGCAUUUAAAAAUUAUGUUUUUGAAGACAAAAGGCGAUGAGUUGAUGCCGGAGACAAACUGCGAUGGUUGGUUUUCAUUGAGGGAUCAGUUUAAUUGCUAAACUUGGAGGCUAUCUGAGGAUGAGAAAGCUAAAAGGAGGAUCAACAUAUUUGAGUCAAUUAGGUGGAACUCCAAACCUUAUAUGCUGCAACCUCUGAAGAAAACCCGUUCGAUGAAAAGGCAAGUGUACUUAAUAUAUAUAUAUAUAUAUAUACAUAUAUAUACAAGCUUCAUGAAUAAUUUUAAUAUAAUGCGAGGAACAAGUAUAUCUAAUUAGGCGCUUUAUUUGGAAAUUUCUAAUUUUCUAGUGCUUUGGUAGAUCAUUCAGUCAAGUUAUCAAUCAAAACACUUGCUUUUAGUUUGGUGAUAUGCUGAAAUAUGGGAUCAAUGGAAAAAAUAUUAUUAAUUAAUAAUACCUCCAUUUACAAAUAUGAAAUUGUCAUUAUAAUAACAAAUUAUUUGGUUUUGUUGCACAUGCUACUUU